rnacentral:rRNA from 1 species
ACCUCAAAUCAGGUAGGAAUACCCGCUGAACUUAAGCAUAUCAAUAAGCGGGAGGAAAAGAAAAUAACAAAUGAUUCCCCCAGUAACUGCGAGUGAAGAGGGAUAAGCUCAAAUUUUAAAUCCGUCAGGUGCUACCUGACCGAGUUGUAAUUUGAAGAAGCGUUUUCCGCGCGUUUUGGCCAGCCCAAGUUCCUUGGAACAGGGCAUCAUGGAGGGUGAGAAUCCCGUUUGGUUGGUCAGGUGCGCUUUACGAUACGCUUUCAAAGAGUCAAGUUGUUUGGGAUUGCAGCUUAAAAUGGGAGGUAAAUUUCUCCUAAGGCUAAAUACCGGCGAGAGACCGAUAGCGAACAAGUACCGUGAGGGAAAGAUGAAAAGCAUUUUGAAAAGAAAGUCAAAUAGCACGUGAAAUUGUUGAAAGGGAAACGAUUGAAGUCAGUCGUACCGAUGAGUAUUCAGCCUCUCGGGUGUGAUUAUGUUGGAAGUGGGAAGAUCCUGCUCUGUCAUAUUCGUGCUUCUGAGGUGUACCUGCUCGUAUGGUAGGUUAACAUCAAUUUUGAUCGUUAUAAAAUGACGGGGGGAAUGUGGCUUCAUUUUUUGAAGUGUUAUAGCCUCUGGUAGAUGUGAUGAUCGGGAUUGAGGAUUGCAACGGAAUACCCUUUGGGCCACUCGUCUGAUCUCUGAUCGUCGCUUUGGUGCCGAAAGCAUGCUUAUGGUAUCGAAGUAGGUGGUCAAAAGGUUAGAACGGGUUAAAUUCGUUAAGGAUGUUGACGUAAUGACUUUAAACGACCCGUCUUGAAACACGGACCAAGGAGUCUAGCAUAUAUGCGAGUGUU